GAGUUUGAUCCUGGCUCAGAUUGAACGCUGGCGGCAGGCCUAACACAUGCAAGUCGAGCGGUAGAGAGAAGCUUGCUUCUCUUGAGAGCGGCGGACGGGUGAGUAAUGCCUAGGAAUCUGCCUGGUAGUGGGGGAUAACGCUCGGAAACGGACGCUAAUACCGCAUACGUCCUACGGGAGAAAGCAGGGGACCUUCGGGCCUUGCGCUAUCAGAUGAGCCUAGGUCGGAUUAGCUAGUUGGUGAGGUAAUGGCUCACCAAGGCGACGAUCCGUAACUGGUCUGAGAGGAUGAUCAGUCACACUGGAACUGAGACACGGUCCAGACUCCUACGGGAGGCAGCAGUGGGGAAUAUUGGACAAGUGGGACGAAAGCCUGAUCCAGCCAUGCCGCGUGUGUGAAGAAGGU
rnacentral:rRNA from 1 species